UGGAGUAGCUCAGUCGGUAGAGCAGCUGAUUCGUAAUCAGCAGGUCGCAGGUUCGAGUCCCGUUUCC
rnacentral:tRNA from 1 species